CCUCAUAAAAUUACUAUUUGUACAGAUAUUUUUAUAUUUUUUUUACACACCUACCUAUAAAAAUAUUUUAAUCAUUUAAUUUUAAACAAUUAAGUUUUUAACGAUAUUAAAUGAUAUGGAUACAUGUAAAAAAAUUAAAAAAAGAUAUACAUACAAAAUAAAUAUUUUAGUAUACAUACAAAUUAAUUUUGAAAGAAUA
rnacentral:lncRNA from 1 species